rnacentral:rRNA from 1 species
AGGUUAAGCGACUAAGCGUACACGGUGGAUGCCCUGGCAGUCAGAGGCGAUGAAGGACGUGCUAAUCUGCGAUAAGCGUCGGUAAGGUGAUAUGAACCGUUAUAACCGGCGAUUUCCGAAUGGGGAAACCCAGUGUGUUUCGACACACUAUCAUUAACUGAAUCCAUAGGUUAAUGAGGCGAACCGGGGGAACUGAAACAUCUAAGUACCCCGAGGAAAAGAAAUCAACCGAGAUUCCCCCAGUAGCGGCGAGCGAACGGGGAGCAGCCCAGAGCCUGAAUCAGUGUGUGUGUUAGUGGAAGCGUCUGGAAAGGCGCGCGAUACAGGGUGACAGCCCC